rnacentral:lncRNA from 1 species
AGUAUCCUGUGUCAUGCCAUGCUUAAGCACUGGGGUCACACCCUCCUAGUACCUAGUGUGGAGCCAGUGCCACGUGCCCGCCGCUGCCUGCUGCUGCGAUCCCUGCUUAGUGGACCUUUGACCUCCGCGGCAGCAGGAGGACCUCGAGCCAGUGUGGAGUAGGGCCAGGGAGGCCUCGCAGCAGACGGCCCAGCACUCUGUGGCAGCUGUUGGUCCAGUGCAGUGUUGUUUAUGUGAAAGUGAAAUUCCCUGACUGCAUAAUGCCAGUACAGAGCUGGUUUUGGAAGUAGUGAGUAUGAUGCAGAAAGCCUGAAUGUAGUAUGCAGGUUCAGAGACAAGCAAAUUAGCAAGAGACAUACCAAUUACC